CCUACGGGAGGCAGCAGUGGGGAAUUUUGGACAAUGGGCGAAAGCCUGAUCCAGCCAUUCCGCGUGCAGGAUGAAGGCCCUCGGGUUGUAAACUGCUUUUGUACAGAACGAAAAGGUUUCUACUAAUACUAGGAGCUCAUGACGGUACUGUAAGAAUAAGCACCGGCUAACUACGUGCCAGCAGCCGCGGUAAUACGUAGGGUGCAAGCGUUAAUCGGAAUUACUGGGCGUAAAGCGUGCGCAGGCGGUUAUAUAAGUCAGAUGUGAAAUCCCCGGGCUCAACCUGGGAACUGCAUUUGAGACUGUAUAGCUAGAGUACGGUAGAGGGGGAUGGAAUUCCGCGUGUAGCAGUGAAAUGCGUAGAUAUGCGGAGGAACACCGAUGGCGAAGGCAAUCCCCUGGACCUGUACUGACGCUCAUGCACGAAAGCGUGGGGAGCAAACAGGAUUAGAUACCCUGGUAGUCCACGCCCUAAACGAUGUCAACUGGUUGUUGGGUCUUAACUGACUCAGUAACGAAGCUAACGCGUGAAGUUGACCGCCUGGGGAGUACGGCCGCAAGGUUGAAACUCAAAUGAAUUGACGG
rnacentral:rRNA from 1 species